UUGAGCACUGACUUGAUCUUUGGGUUUUCUUCAUUGUAAGCAUCAAUCAAUAAUUGAAAGUUUUCCAUCAUGGAUUUCUUCAGUUUCACAAGAAACUUGAUGUCAAUUCCUUGCUUAAUGCUACAUAACAUCAUUUUCCAAGCAAAGGGCUGGACCUUAGAGUCUCUGGGAGUUAUGCAUAAUUACGUUUAAUCCUUUCCACUGCUGACUCAAUACUUUCAGUGUGGAGAGAGAGUUGCUUCUCCUGAGUUUGUUCUUCAGUCUUCACUACUUUAAAAAGUCCAGAGAGCAGUGGGCAAAUGGAGCAUCUGGCAACAGACAAUGCAUGUGGUAAAACAGAUAGAUUGGAUGGUGGCUUGACAUUCAUAUCAACUAAGUGGCACCUGAGGUGAGUCAAAGGACUCACAGCCUGGUGUUACUACAGGUGAAAACUCUCCUAAACUCUACAGUAAACUCUCCUAAAAGCGCGUAUGGAGCUCCCCACCUUGAAAGUGUGGUGAACCAGCCAAAUCCCCGCCUCUGAAGACCCAAGCAGCCUUCCCAAGGGCCAAUCAACACAUGCUAAUUGACUUAGCCACACCACACCUAAAGGUGCUAAAACGAUUUCAGAAGGUAAAAAGUAGACACCGGAAACCCCUUUUUUGGGGGAAGAAAAAAAUUAUCAACUUAUGUGACAGACAGGUCAGUGGGCCUGCACCUACCUUCCUCCACCAUGAAGAAAUGUCUUGUUAAGAUUUGCACCUCUGAGUCUGUCAGAUGUUUCCCUGGGAAAAAAAACCUACUAAUUCAAGUUUUUACUGUUACUUGCUUUGCGUCUAAUUGUUAUGUGGUUAUAAGUGUUUAUAGAGCUAAAAUGCGGCAGUGAGUUUAUCAUGGUAAUCCUGUAUUUGUUUUUAAUCUGUCACUUGAAUUAAACUACUUACUGCCUCCAGCACUGCGAAAUUGCUUCUGUGACAGGCUUUGCUGUAAGCAGCUGCUGUUUGGGCUGUGAACCACAUGUAUUUACCCUGUGAGUACCAGGUUUGGCAAAACCACAUAUAAGCACACACACAUAAUUUGUUUGUCAUAAACCACUGACCAAGUCCGAGAUUUUUAAUCUCGUGACUCAGUGUGAGGGUCUCCUUAGCCACUUGUCAGUAUCUCACCUGUUUAACAUGAGAGAAAAUUGGCACAGCGAGCAGGUUUGCCACAGGAAAGCUUCUGCAUAAAUAUGUGUGCACUGUCCCUUGUGGGAAUAGAAUGGGCUCCAAGGUAUUUUGGAAUAAGUGGUGUGGUGGACAGGUACUAACACCUCCUCCCCCAACUCCUCUUUCACUUGGUUUAGCAAACCAUGCUGGGAUGCCUUUGAUAAGACUCAUAAAAGAGAGUCCAUCUACCUGAAGGCAAUCCCAAACCUUGUGAGUGCAAGUCUAGUGACUCUCACAAGCCACUAACUGUUCAUGGAAUACACAAAAACUAACACAAAUCCUCUGUAGUGCAUCUCUGACACAGACACUAUGGAGAGUGAAACAGAAAAAAGAGAAAACUUUUUUGCACGUGGAAGGAAACUUACACAACUAACAUUGCCCUUACCCCAAUAGAAAGCAGACUGAGGUGUUAAAAGUGGCAUUAGCCUCUGAAAAGGAGACAAAUUGCUGUUAGCCAGCUGCAAACCCAGAUUUUUACUAAGCCAAAUGCCUUCCUCGGUCUUGGCUAGAUAAAUUCAGAGCCCAAAAUACGGGCUCAGUUCCAGCACUUAUUGACUAUUGAGUUCACUCCCGAGUUUUGUCUGUUCCAUUUGUUUUAGUCUUUAUUAGUAAUGUUAUUUAUUGACUUAUUCAAAAAACUUCUUUUUCUUAAUGCAUGUACUUCAUCUCAAAAAAUAUCACAAGAUAUUCACAAGAAAAAAUACACUGAAUAAUCAGAGAAAUAGUAAAUUCAGAUUUAUAUCUACUCCAUUACACCUCCAACAUUAUGUCAGUUGCUUAUAUAUCAAGACAUAAAUAUCAUUAUUCUUCAGUCAGAAAAUCAAAAAAUACAAUUCUGCAUUAGCAGUUUUCAUACUUGCAUUAAUUAUUUGUCUUCUGCUGCUGAAAGCCAAUGACAUUUGUCCACAGUUUCA